UUUUCAUUCUUCUUUCUCAUACUUUCUUAUUUUCUUUUCAUUCUCUGUCCCCCAUUCUUUUUUUCAUUUCAUGUCCGCAAGGGCAGGUAAACAGGUGCACAGCUUUCCGAGAACGAGAUCAAGCUUCUUUGUGCUUCUUCUAGAGAGAUUUUGUCCAGCAACACAAUUUGCUUGAGCUUGAAGCACCUAUCAAGAUUUGUGGUAAACAGGUCCAACUUUCCGAGAACGAGAUCAAGUUUCAUUGUGUUUCUUCCAGAGAGAUUUUGUCCAACAACUCAAUUUGCUUGAGCUUGAAGCACCUAUCAAGAUUUGUGGUGACAUGAAUGGGUAAACAGGUCCAGCUUUCCGAGAACGAGAUCAAGCUUCAUUGUGUUUCUUCCAGAGAUAUUUUGUCCAACAACUCAAUUUGCUUGAGCUUGAAGCACCUAUCAAGAUUUGUGGUGACAUUCAUGGGCAGUUUACUCAUUUGUUAAGACUUUUUGAAUAUGGGUUUCUACCUAAUGAAAUUUUUUUCUCUUUUUCAA